GAUGAACGCUGGCGGCGUGCCUAAUACAUGCAAGUCGAGCGAACAGAUAAGGAGCUUGCUCCUUUGACGUUAGCGGCGGACGGGUGAGUAACACGUGGGUAACCUACCUAUAAGACUGGGAAACUUCGGGAAACCGGAGCUAAUACCGGAAAACAUUUGGAACCGCCAGGUUCUUAAGUGAAAGAUGGGUUUGCUUUCACUUAUAGAUGGACCCGCGCCGUAUUAGCUAGUUGGUAAGGUAACGGCUUACCAAGGCGACGAUACGUAGCCGACCUGAGAGGGUGAUCGGCCACACUGGAACUGAGACACGGUCCAGACUCCUACGGGAGGCAGCAGUAGGGAAUCUUCCGCAAUAGGCGAAAGCCUGACGGAGCAACGCCGCGUGAGUGAUGAAGGGUUUCGGCUCGUAAAACUCUGUUAUUAGGGAAGAACAAAUGUGUAAGUAACUGUGCACGUCUUGACGGUACCUAAUCAGAAAGCCACGGCUAACUACGUG
rnacentral:rRNA from 1 species